UAAAAGUCGUAACAAGGUUUCCGUAGGUGAACCUGCGGAAGGAUCAUUACCUAGAGUUGUAGGCUUUGCCUGCUAUCUCUUACCCAUGUCUUUUGAGUACCUUCGUUUCCUCGGCGGGUUCGCCCGCCGAUUGGACAAUUUAAACCAUUUGCAGUUGCAAUCAGCGUCUGAAAAAACAUAAUAGUUACAACUUUCAACAACGGAUCUCUUGGUUCUGGCAUCGAUGAAGAACGCAGCGAAAUGCGAUAAGUAGUGUGAAUUGCAGAAUUCAGUGAAUCAUCGAAUCUUUGAACGCACAUUGCGCCCCUUGGUAUUCCAUGGGGCAUGCCUGUUCGAGCGUCAUUUGUACCUUCAAGCUCUGCUUGGUGUUGGGUGUUUGUCUCGCCUCUGCGUGUAGACUCGCCUCAAAACAAUUGGCAGCCGGCGUAUUGAUUUCGGAGCGCAGUACAUCUCGCGCUUUGCACUCAGAACGACGACGUCCAAAAGUACAUUUUUACACUCUUGACCUCGGAUCAGGUAGGGAUACCCGCUGAACUAAGCGCGUGAU
rnacentral:rRNA from 1 species